rnacentral:rRNA from 1 species
UGGGGAAUUUUGGACAAUGGGGGAAACCCUGAUCCAGCCAUCCCGCGUGUGCGAUGAAGGCCUUCGGGUUGUAAAGCACUUUUGGCAGGAAAGAAACGUCAUGGGUUAAUACCCCGUGAAACUGACGGUACCUGCAGAAUAAGCACCGGCUAACUACGUGCCAGCAGCCGCGGUAAUACGUAGGGUGCAAGCGUUAAUCGGAAUUACUGGGCGUAAAGCGUGCGCAGGCGGUUCGGAAAGAAAGAUGUGAAAUCCCAGAGCUCAACUUUGGAACUGCAUUUUUAACUACCGGGCUAGAGUGUGUCAGAGGGAGGUGGAAUUCCGCGUGUAGCAGUGAAAUGCGUAGAUAUGCGGAGGAACACCGAUGGCGAUGGCAGCCUCCUGGGAUAACACUGACGCUCAUGCACGAAAGCGUGGGGAGCAAACAGG